UACAGAGGUCCCAAGCGUUGUUCGGAUUCACUGGGCGUAAAGGGUGCGUAGGUGGUCGGGUAAGUCUGAUGUGAAAUCUCCGAGCUUAACUCGGAAAUGGCAUUGGAUACUAUUCGGCUGGAGGUUUGGAGGGGGGACUGGAAUUCUCGGUGUAGCAGUGAAAUGCGUAGAUAUCGAGAGGAACACCAGUGGCGAAGGCGAGUCCCUGGACAACACCUGACACUGAGGCACGAAAGUGUGGGGAGCGAACAGG
rnacentral:rRNA from 1 species